UUUUUGUAGAACGGGCCAACGAGUUACGUUAAGUAGCAAGGUUAAGCACUUAAGGUGCGGAGCCGUAGCGAAAGCGAGUUUUAACUGAGCGUUCAGUUACUGGACGUAGACCCGAAACCGGGCGACCUACCCAUGGGCAGGAUGAAGCGAAAGUAAAAUUUCGUGGCGGUCCGAACCCACGAGCGUUGAAAAGCUCGGGGAUGACUUGUGGGUAGCGGUGAAAUUCCAAUCGAGCCCGGAGAUAGCUGGUUCUCCCCGAAAUAGCUUUAGGGCUAGCCUCAAGGUGAGAGAUACGGAGGUAGAGCACUGAAUGUCCUAGGGGGUAUUGCACCUACCGAAGACUAUCAAACUCCGAAU
rnacentral:rRNA from 1 species